rnacentral:rRNA from 1 species
AACGAACGCUGGCGGCAUGCCUAACACAUGCAAGUCGAACGAGACCUUCGGGUCUAGUGGCGCACGGGUGCGUAACGCGUGGGAACCUGCCCUUAGGUUCGGAAUAACUCCCCGAAAGGGGUGCUAAUACCGGAUAAUGUCUUCGGACCAAAGAUUUAUCGCCUUUGGAUGGGCCCGCGUUGGAUUAGCUAGUUGGUAGGGUAAAAGCCUACCAAGGCGACGAUCCAUAGCUGGUCUGAGAGGAUGAUCAGCCACACUGGGACUGAGACACGGCCCAGACUCCUACGGGAGGCAGCAGUGGGGAAUAUUGGACACUGGGCGAAAGCCUGAUCCAGCAAUGCCGCGUGAGUGAUGAAGGCCUUAGGGUUGUAAAGCUCUUUUACCCGGGAUGAUAAUGACAGUAACGGGAAAAUAAGCUCCGGCUAACUACGUG